rnacentral:rRNA from 1 species
GCCAGCAGCCAUGUCACCCUGCAACUCACUGAACCCUGCAACUAGCUACCCACUGAAGCUAAGCAGGUGUGAGCCUGGCUGGUACCUGGUUGGGAGACCUUCUGGGAAAGCUUGCUGCUGGAA